rnacentral:rRNA from 1 species
UAGUAACGGCGAGUGAAGCGGUAACAGCUCAAAUUUGAAAUCUGGCUCCCUGCGGAGUCCGAGUUGUAAUUUGUAGAAGAUGCUUUGGGUGCUCGGCCCGGUCUAAGUUCCUUGGAACAGGACGUCGUAGAGGGUGAGAAUCCCGUAUGCGGCCGGGGUGGGUGCUCGUGUAAAGCUCUUUCGACGAGUCGAGUUGUUUGGGAAUGCAGCUCAAAAUGGGUGGUAAAUUUCAUCUAAAGCUAAAUAUGGGCCAGAGACCGAUAGCGCACAAGUAGAGUGAUCGAAAGAUGAAAAGCACUUUGGAAAGAGAGUUAAACAGUACGUGAAAUUGUUGAAAGGGAAGCGCUUGCAACCAGACUUGGGCGUCGCUGAUCAUCCAAAGUUUUCUUUGGUGCACUCGACGACGUACAGGCCAGCAUCGGUUGGGGUGGUGGGAGAAAGGUUGUAGGAACGUAGCUCUUUUCGGGGAGUGUUAUAGCCUGCGACGCAAUGCCGCCUACCCUGACCGAGGACCGCGCUUCGGCUAGGAUGCUGGCGUAAUGGUUGUAAGCGACCCGUCUUGAAACACGGACCAAGGAGUCUAACAUCUAUGCGAGUGUUUGGGUGCGAAACCCAUGCGCGAAAUGAAAGUGAACGUAGGUGAGAACCCUUCGAGGGGGCAUCAUCGACCGAUCCUGAUGUCUUCGGAUGGAUUUGAGUAUGAGCAUAGCUGUUGGGA